rnacentral:lncRNA from 1 species
CUGCCUUUGACAGAGAACUUGCAACCGUGUCAGUGAAAAUCAUCUCAGAGGCACAGGCUGAAAAUCAGCCCUGACCUCUCAAGAGCAAAGAUCAGCAUCACGUCUUCUGCUACAGCUGGUUUAACGUAACCCCCCAGGAUGAUUCCAAUUCAGAGCAUCCUACAGUGCCUGUGUGUGCGGCUCCACAAAGUUCAAAAACCAGAAUUGCUGAGUCAGUGGUGCACAGAAAGAUGCAGGACAAGGCAAUUUUAAAAAGAUACCCCGGAACUGUCUUGAAUUCUCAGCUUCAGCUCGGACACCAAGCACAGCACCUAUGUACAGCUCCGGUCAAUACCAGGAGUUUCAGCGGCAAGACAUCCUCAUUGAACUUCUGUGGGGCAGACGCUGAACUUGGUAUCUGUAACAGUCAUCCUUCCAAGAUAUCCCCUAACGCUCUCCGCCUUUUGGUAUCCCUGCCCAUGUAUAUACCACCUCCCACGGUGACUGAAUACAACUCAUCUGUGAAAGCAGUAGAACGCUGCAGAAAUGUCAGUAUUUGACCUCUCAGGAUAGGUCAUAAAAGACAUUCAAUGUACAAUUUUUUUUUCCUUCUCUCUUGGGUCAUUGCUAUGUAAGAAGUCAGCUGCCACAAACACUUGAAUAGCCCUACGGAGAGGCUACGUGGUGAGGAACUCAAGAGUUCCUGCCAAAAAGCCAGUGACAGAUUACGGCUUCCUGCAACAACCCUGUAAGUCAGGCAUGUUGGAAGCAGACCUUGGAGCCCCCAAGUGAAGCCUUCAGUUGACUUCAUCCCUAGCCAAAAAUUUAACCACAGCCUCAUUAAUGAUCUCAAGCCAGAACUACCAAGCCUAGAUGCUCUGGAUGCUCAGACCACAGAAAGGGUUAAGUGAUAAAUGUUUACUGAUAUAAGCUACUAGGUUGUGGAGUCGUUUAUUACACAACAAUAGAUGAGUAAGACAGAUUUUGUUACUUUGGUACUUGGAAAUGGAGCCUCAGAGUAGCACAUAACUAAAAACAUGAAAAUAGCUUUGGAGAAGGCAGUGGGCAGAAGCAGCAAAGACUCUGAGGAGAGUAUUGGUGGGAGCCUCACAUGUGGUGAAGAGAAUGCCUCUGAGGAAGGUACGAGUCAGGGCUGCAAGAUGUGCAAAAAAGUCACUGGAAACUGGAGGGAAAGGGACGCUGUUAGGCAGUGUCAGAAAGUAUCAUGACACUGCUUCCUGGAGGUAUGCGGAAAGUAGACAAUGUACCACAUAAAAUGGGAUCAACUUGCUAAGAAGAUUCCAGUGCAGGUUUUCAAGGUGCCGCUUAGAUGCUCUUUGCUACGUACAGCAAAAUGCAAGCAGAGAGAGAGAGGUGUCUAAGGAAAGACUUAAACAAAAACGGAACACGGACUUCCUGAUUGUAAAAAUUCCCAGCCUCUCCCGCUGACUACUAGUGCUAUAAUUAAGAAACGGCUUCCAGGCAAAGAUGAAGUCCAUGACAUUUCCAGGAAAAUACGGCCUCAGACAGAUCGGAUACGGUGCCUCAGAGGACUGCUCC